rnacentral:lncRNA from 1 species
AAAAAGCUCUCCUCAGUUUUAGAUUUGGUGUGAAAUUCAAUAUUAAAAAAAUAAAAAGAACAACACAAAAAAUAGAAAACAAACCAAAAACUCAAAAAAAUCACUAUUACAUUGCCUAUUUUUAGUCCCUGAAAAUAAUGGUAUUUUUAUUGUUCUCACUCACUGAGUGCAUUCUGAAGUCAUUUGGAGUUCAAUUGUGGAUGGUUUAGGUUUAUUCGAGUGGGUUGUGGUGUUAUACAUUGUUGUAGCUGAUUUCUGGGUGCAUUUCAAAUAUUGUGGAACUGGUUGGGAUUGAUUCAAACAAUUCUCAACUGUUGUUCUUACAUCUGGAAUAGUUCGAGUAUAUUUGGUUGUGUCUUCAGCGAGUUAUAAUUGAUUGCAUGUGUUUGUUUGGGUUCAAUCAUUUCCUGGGCUGUCUAUGAUCAAUUGCUGCUGCUACUGACCUUUCUCCUCCUUAUUUCUAUUCAAUUCCAGGUACACUGCUCAAC